UGUUUUAGAUGAGUGGCACGAAGGGAACAAAUCUGUUAGAAAUGAGGAAGUUCUCCUUUCUCGGUGUCGAGUACCCGUUUGAGUCAUUUAAUCUUAUAAAAUGUCGAUCUAUUUUUGCACCAAGCACCGCAACAUAUUUUAAUUGUUCGCUCCCUUGGCGUUAAGUCUUUAAUAAGAGUUGUUUGAAACAUUUUAAUCGACAUUUUGUCUACUUUUAUUAAGCAGACUGGCAUCCGUGUAAAAUCUGAAUUUGGAAUAUUUUAUUCACAUCUGUUGGGAAAUUAUGUUUACAACUAAUAUUUUAACACAAUUUAUACAGAAAUAUUUUAGAAAUUGUUUUCAAUGCACGUUUCCAUUAUAACCACGUUUUGGCGAUGUAUGACCUUUUUAUGUCGAUUUGACGUAAAAUCACUCAAUCCCAAAGAUCAACAGUUCUUUUUUUUUCCUGUCCGGUGUGUAACUCAACCUUCCAGCAAGAGAUUUUUAUAUUACCUGGCACGAAUGUUAGUCAUAAUAAGUCAAUGUGUCAUACACAAUUCCAGACCUCUACCUGAAAUGUUAAGGCCGCACUUUGAGAUCAGAGGUAAACAUGGUAUUAACAGUGUCUGUUUUAUGUCCUAGAAAUCUAGAUAAAAUGAAACAAAGUUAACUUCCUGUUUAAAGUGAGUUCCUUUUCCUGUUUAUAUGCUGAUUUCGUAAAUUUUAUCAAUGAAUAUCUAAAGUACUUAUCAUCUUGUUGACAACUGUCCUACAGAAGUCGACUUGCCUUGCAAGAAUUUUAUUGAGAGGGGAUAGCGAAGCAAUACCAAUGCAACAUUAGUCAGAAAAAAGAGGGUUUUAAAUUUCUUAUCAUCCGAAAAAAACUGAACGACGAUAAAUAUCUGGUGAGGAUAAUGUCUUUCUCACGAAGGAUUUCGGUUGUUAUUAUCGCAACUAUACUUAUAUGGAAGGUCACACAGGUAGAGAACCAGCUAUGUCGGGUUAAAGGUCGCGGCUGCAGGGACACCGGAUUGAAUCGUUGGGGCAGAGGACGGUGUGCUAGGCUUGGCGACAUAUUAGAUACGAUUAUGAGAUGUCAACGGUAUGGUUUACGUUGCCGAUGCAACAUAAUUGGAAAUAAACCGGGAAAUAUUGGAACUGAUUUUGACGGGUCAUACUAUGACAAUAAUUUGUAUUCUGAAAUAUAUUAAACCGUUCUACAAUAAUCAAAAUGGCUACAAUAUUUCAUUGGUUUAAAAUUCAUUUUAAAACAUUCUGGUACACGUAAGACUUAUAGUGACAAAAUGGAAGGAUAUUUGUUGAAGAAUGCACAAUUAUUCUGUGUUUGUUUAACAAAAUUUGAGACUUUGGGAAUAUGUUAUUUAAUAUUUGAGUAAAAGAAACAAUUGGUGUUUGUUAAAAUCAUCUUAUUACAGUACUAAAAGAUGUAUCAUUUGUUGAUAUAUGAGCCGUGCCAUGGGAAAACCAACAUAGUGGCUUUGCGACCAACAUGGAUCCAGACCAGCUUGCGCAUCCGCGCAGUCUGGUCAGGAUCCAUGCUGUUCGCUUUCAAAGCCUAUUGUAAUUAGAGAAACUGUUAGCGAACAGUAUGGAUCCUGAUCAGACUGCGCGGAUGCGCAGGCUGGUCUGGAUCCAUGCUGGUCGCAAAGCCACUAUGUUGGUUUUCCCAUGGCACGGCUCAAAUAUUAUUUCGAAACUACCUUUAGCCUAAAAAAACAACGUACAUAUUCAUAGUCAUACCGAACGGAACAGACGAGAACCUCAAUUGGUUCCAAAAACCAAUGUGGGACUGGGCUGAUUCGAUCUUUAAUUUCGGUCCUUUAUGUUAUUUCUUUCCUUUCUACAAAGAGAUGUGUCUAUGAUUUGUGUGUGCAUAUUAAUUAUGUAUACAUUUAUACAUGAACUGUUGUAUGGUUUGCCUUAAUAAUGUGACGACAAUGACGCCAUAUCAGGGUCAUGGCGGUGAGAUUAAAAAUAGACCGUC